CGCCAUGUUAGAGCGUACCGUUUCUUUCCAGCUGAAAGAGCUUUACAACCCGAAGGCCUUCUUCACUCACGCGGAAUGGCUGGAUCAGGGUUGCCCCCAUUGUCCAAGAUUCCCCACUGCUGCCUCCCGUAGG
rnacentral:rRNA from 1 species